UACUGUGAAUAGGUCCAGAUUGAUUUACAUCCCUAUGAUAGAAGCUACAAAAGAACAGAGACAAGAGUUUCAGUAAUAUAAUGUAACAUUUGGGAGCAAAAAUACAGAAAAGCAAACCAAAACUGGAAGCCAGAAUUGCAAAUAUUUCUACAGCAACAGUAUAUUUCCCAGGUGAACUGAAAACACAAGAGAUGCACAUGACAAAUGUGAUCCCAAAGGCAGUGUGGCGCAACAUACAGGACCACUCAGAGGGCUGGCCAAUGAAAAACACAAGAGAUGCACAGGACA